GACGAACGCUGGCGGCGUGCCUAAUACAUGCAAGUCGACCUUAGUGGCGAACGGGUGAGUAAAACGUGGGUAACCUGCACAUCAGAAUGGGAUAACACUUGGCAACAGGUGCUAAUACCGUAUACUGAUGGAUGGACCCGCGGUGCAUUGGCUAGUUGGUGAGGUAACGGCUCACCAAGGCCACGAUGAUUAGCCGACCUGAGAGGGUGAUCGGCCACAUUGGGACUGAGACACGGCCCAGACUCCUACGGGAGGCAGCAGUAGGGAAUCUUGGGCAAUGGACGAAAGUCUGACCGAGCCACGCCGCGUGAGUGAAGAAGGUUUUCGGAUCGUAAAACUCUGUUGUUAGAGAAGCGGUAUCUAACCAGAAAGCCACGGCUAACUACGUGCCAGCCGCCGCGGUAAUAC
rnacentral:rRNA from 1 species